UACGUAGGGUGCAAGGCGUUAAUCGGAAUUACUGGGCGUAAAGCGUGCGCAGGCGGUUUGGUAAGACAGAUGUGAAAUCCCCGGGCUUAACCUGGGAAUUGCAUUUGUGACUGCCCGGCUAGAGUGUGUCAGAGGGGGGUAGAAUUCCACGUGUAGCAGUGAAAUGCGUAGAUAUGUGGAGGAAUACCGAUGGCGAAGGCAGCCCCCCUGGGAUAACACUGACGCUCAUGCACGAAAGCGUGGGGAGCAAACAGG
rnacentral:rRNA from 1 species